UUUUCUUGAUUGUUUUAAUUAUUUUGGGUAUUUUCUCACGUAACAUAUGAUUGAUUUCUUACGUAUAAGAACCGAGUCGUUUCUCAUUGCAAACAAAUCACAGAUGGACUCGUGUUCAUCAUCUUUCAUUUUGUAAGCAAUUUAUGCAUGUGUUGGAUUAUUUCGCCUAUAAGUAAGAAUGACUCGUUACAUGUUUGAAUCAUGCAACGGUCGUCGUUUAUUUAUGGUGCUCCUGUCAGCGAACCGUACUUUCAGUUGCAUUUAUGUGAAUUCGAGUAAACGUUGCCCUCUCCAGUUUGCCACUCAUAAAGUUCAAACCAAACCAAUGUUUUGACUUUAAGAUGUUAUUACUUCAUCGCGGUGUCGUUAAAGAAUUCAAUUCCUUGAUUUAUCUUUAAUAAAUGUUGUACUUCGUAAAUAAGAUUUUUUGAGCGUGAAGUAUUUUAUUUCUUGCACUUACAUACCUGCAAAUUCAAAAAUGUGACAUCAAUUCCCAAAACCUAAGUGUUGUCUCAAACAAAUCUAGAGAAACCUGCAAAUUCAAAAAUGUGACAUCAAUUCUCAAAACCUAAGUGUUGUCUCAAACAAAUCUAGAGAAAUAGUUUAGAUUAUUUUAACCUUUUAUUUGUGAUACUGCAUAUUUGUAUACUUACAGACAAUUGUUGCUAUGUGGAUACAUGUUUUUUCCAAGACGAGACCAAGAAAAUUAUAACUCAUUAAAAUGCAGAAUUUAUUCAUAUACAUAACUAGUCCCAAGUUGAGAACGAAAUUUUUAAUGACUUUAAGUAGGUUAUUGCCUUACAGAGUAUUACUUUAGAGAAAUUUUACUAUGAUUACAAUUCAGUCUCGAGCAUUGGUAACUAGGAACCGAAUCUUAAUUUUCCAUAUAUAUAAAUUGAGGGGAACACAUUAUCAUGGUGGUCCAUUAUAAUCUGGCGUUGAGUAGACCCUUUAAUGUUGAAUUAAUUUCCCUCACCAACUUCCUGCAAAUGGCUAAAAUUCCGUCGUCAACAAAAUCAUCCUUCUGCAUCACCAGAUGACAUAUUCACAUCACAACUUCUCUCUACUAGUUUUAAUCUUCGGAUUCAUAAAUUACGUUAUAUACACAAUCUCAAAUUUACCCUGAUAUAGCACCAAAAAUCAAGGACAAUAUUGGCUUUCUAAGUCUCAUUUGUGUUUCUAAUUACCAGAUUUUUUAACUUGAGGAGAUUUUAGAAUGAAUCAGCCCAUGGCAUGAAUUAAAACAACAAUUCAUGCUAUGCACCAAACCAUACUAGACAAAUUGUCCAAGAUGUUGCCAUGUUUUUCACUUUCGUUGUGUCACCAAACACGUCUUCGCUCUUUACGUUUGCACUUGCACAGUUUGGUUACCAAAA
rnacentral:lncRNA from 1 species